rnacentral:rRNA from 1 species
GGGUCAGUAGGUUGGUCGUGCCACCGGUACGUACUGGUCUCACUGAUUCCUCCUUCCUGAAGAACCGUAAUGCCAUUAAUUUGGUGUUGCGGGGAAACAGGACUGUUACUUCGAAAAAAUUAGAGUGUUUAAAGCAAGCUAACGCUUGAAUACAUUAUCAUGGAAUAAUGAAAUAGGACGUUCGAUCCUAUUUUGUUGGUUUCUAGGAUUGACGUA